rnacentral:tRNA from 1 species
AUUUAAAUAGCUUAAGGUUAGAGCGUAAUAUUGAAGAUAUUAAAGUGAUAUUAUUAUCUUUAAAUA